rnacentral:rRNA from 1 species
AGAGUUUGAUCAUGGCUCAGGAUGAACGCUAGCGAUAGGCUUAACACAUGCAAGUCGAGGGGUAACAUUAGGGUAGCUUGCUACCCUUGAUGACGACCGGCGGAUGGGUGCGUAACGCGUAUGCAACUUACCUUUUAGCGGGGGAUAACCCGGAGAAAUCCGGACUAAUACCGCAUAUACAUGGGAUGUCGCAUGAUUUUCCAUGGAAAGAUUUUAUCACUAAGAGAUAGGCAUGCGUUCCAUUAGGUAGUUGGUGAGGUAACGGCUCACCAAGCCCACGAUGGAUAGGGGCGCUGAGAGGCGUAUCCCCCACACUGGGACUGAGACACGGCCCAGACUCCUACGGGAGGCAGCAGUGAGGAAUCAUGGUCAAUGGAGGCAACUCUGAACCUGCCAAGUCGCGUGAAGGAAGACUGCCCUAAGGGUUGUAAACUUCUUUAGUAGGUGAGUAGAGACAGGCACGUGUGCUUGUUUUGGAAAGUAACCUAAGAAUAAGUAUCGGCUAACUCCGUGCCAGCAGCCGCGGUAAUACGGGGGAUACGAGCGUUAUCCGGAAUUAUUGGGUUUAAAGGGUGCGUAGGUUGUUGAUUAAGUCGGCGGUGAAAAGCUGGGGCUCAACUCUAGUCUUGCCGUUGAUACUGUUCAGCUAGAGAGUAGACGAUGUAGGCGGAAUACGUAGUGUAGCGGUGAAAUGCAUAGAUAUUACGUGGAACUCCAAUCGCGUAGGCAGCUUACAAGACUAUAUCUGACACUGAAGCACGAAAGCGUGGGGAUCAAACAGGAUUAGAUACCCUGGUAGUCC